CACGUAGGAGGCAAACGUUAUCCGGAUUUACUGGGCGUAAAGCGCGUGUAGGUGGUUCUGUAAGUAGGGCGUGAAAGCUCCCGGCUCAACUGGGAGAGGCCGUUCUAAACUGCAGAGCUAGAGGAUGGUAGAGGGAGGUGGAAUUCCAGGUGUAGCGGUGGAAUGCGCAGAUAUCUGGAGGAACACCAGUGGCGAAGGCGGCCUCCUGGACCAUUCCUGACACUCAGUCGCGAAAGCUAGGGCAGCAAACGGGAUUAGAUACCCGUGUA
rnacentral:rRNA from 1 species